rnacentral:lncRNA from 1 species
CAGCACGUGGGGUCACCAGGCAGCCCCGGGGCCCCGGCAGGACUCACCCAGACCUCGGCAUCCCACGCGGGUCUAGGUGCCCAACCUUCCUGGGCCUGGACAGACGAGGUAGGAAGCCAGCCCUCUGCCUGGGGGGCUGGGGUAGAGCAGGAGACCCCUCCCCGGCUCUCAGGGGCUGGGCCCACUCACCCCCUCUCAGAUCCCCAUCUGCCAACCGACUCUGGAGCUGGGGCAUCCGGCUGGUGCCCGUCAGGCAUGUUCCCUCCACCGGCUACAGAGAAGCGCUUUGCAGUCCACAGUUACCUUAAAUACGUGUACAUUAAGUCUCCACUCGAUUUCUAGAAAUCCACACACGCUUUAAAGGGUUGGAAACACUCUGGGAAGUCUCCAAAGACAGCUUCGGGAUCACCAACCCAGAAUAAGAAACAGCCAAAGUCACUUGGGGGUGCUUCCACGCCUCCCCCCACCCCCAGGAUUCCUGUGGCUGGAGCCAGGCUUCCCAUCGGAAGGGAGUUGUUGCUGUUGUCCAGUCGCUCAGUCGUGUACGACUCUUUGCGACCCCAUGGACUGCAGCAUGCUGGGCCUCCGUGUCCAUCACCAUCUCCUGGAGUUCGCCCAAGUUCAUGUCCAUUGAGUCGGUGAUGCCAUCCAAGCAUCUCAUCCUCUGCCGCCCUCUUGUCCUUCUGCCCUGGAUCUUCCCUGGCAGGAAGGGCGGACCCUCUGCUGAUCUGUGGGACCGGGACUGCGAUCCCUGCAGGCGAUUCUCCAAUCCUGGGAGAUCACCGGUUGUAGAGGCAGAACAUCUGAAGAUCGGUAUGCAAGAAUGGCAGGUAAUGUUGGCAGUAAGUUGGUUCAUCUUGAUAUAUUUGCUAUUUUUCUUCUCUCUCUCUCAUCCUCUGAACUGUAUUUCUCCUCUACAUGCCUAUAAUGAAAAGCAACUAAGGUUCAUAGAACCCAUGGGUCCAGAUGAAAAUGUCCCUCCAGGUGGAAGAAACACAGGAGCUUUCUGACUCAGAGCCCCGGGGAGCAAAUGGCAGGGGACCCAGAAGGUGAGCUGUCU